AAACGUGUGCCCACCUCAUGAAUUCCAGACACAGAAGAGAGAAUGCUGCAUUGGGGAGAAAGAACUGGAAGCAAAAGGCCACUAAUGAAUGAAGAAUCCCCUGCUGCCAGCUAUCAUAAUGGUCAUGCUUCUAAGUUCAAGAAAGGCUGUUGCUCCAGCCAAGCAUAAAUUGCUUCACCUGCUGAAGAUCCAGAUGAUAUUCUCUUCACAAAGACAUUGAAAAAUAUUUGGUGGAAGGAGCAAGAACAUCUUUGGGAAGAAAUGUAGUGACUAUUCUCUGUGCUAAGAGAUGAUAGUAAGAGAUGAUGAAAUUGGAAUAGACUCCUGGGUUUCUACUGUGAUUAUAAAAAUAAUCUCACCAUAGGGAUCUUUGGCCAUGGCAAAUUGUUAUGAGGUCUCUUAGAUUGAAAUACCUGGACAGACCAU
rnacentral:lncRNA from 1 species